UAGUGGCGAACGGGUGAGUAACACGUGGGCAAUCUGCCCUUCACUCUGGGACAAGCCCUGGAAACGGGGUCUAAUACCGGAUAACACUCUGUCCUGCAUGGGACGGGGUUAAAAGCUCCGGCGGUGAAGGAUGAGCCCGCGGCCUAUCAGCUUGUUGGUGGGGUAAUGGCCUACCAAGGCGACGACGGGUAGCCGGCCUGAGAGGGCGACCGGCCACACUGGGACUGAGACACGGCCCAGACUCCUACGGGAGGCAGCAGUGGGGAAUAUUGCACAAUGGGCGAAAGCCUGAUGCAGCGACGCCGCGUGAGGGAUGACGGCCUUCGGGUUGUAAACCUCUUUCAGCAGGGAAGAAGCGCAAGUGACGGUACCUGCAGAAGAAGCACCGGCUAACUACGUGCCAGCAGCCGCGGUAAUACGUAGGGUGCGAGCGUUGUCCGGAAUUAUUGGGCGUAAAGAGCUCGUAGGCGGCUUGUCACGUCGGAUGUGAAAGCUCGGGGCUUAACCCCGAGUCUGCAUUCGAUACGGGCUAGCUAGAGUGUGGUAGGGGAGAUCGGAAUUCCUGGUGUAGCGGUGAAAUGCGCAGAUAUCAGGAGGAACACCGGUGGCGAAGGCGGAUCUCUGGGCCAUUACUGACGCUGAGGAGCGAAAGCGUGGGGAGCGAACAGGAUUAGAUACCCUGGUAGUCCACGCCGUAAACGUUGGGAACUAGGUGUUGGCGACAUUCCACGUCGUCGGUGCCGCAGCUAACGCAUUAAGUUCCCCGCCU
rnacentral:rRNA from 1 species